GCUCGUGCUGAAGGCCUGUUUCCUAGGCUACAAACGGAGGACUUGUUCCUUGUCCACUCGCCUAGGGGAAAGUCCCCGGACCUUGGGCAGAGAGUGCCACGUGUUCGCGCACGUAGACUAGUCCGCACUUCACAGCUAGCCCGCCAAGAAGCUUCACGGGUCCUUGGGGCUCAGGUAGCUGAGCGGCGUGUCGCGGGAAAGUCAUCCGUCAGCUCCUCUAGUAACGCAGGCAGUGCGCCCGUCCGCACCAACCUCACGGGGCUCAUUCUCAGCGCGGC
ensembl:ribozyme RNase_MRP RNase MRP